rnacentral:rRNA from 1 species
GACGAACGCUGGCGGCGUGCCUAAUACAUGCAAGUUGAGCGCUGAAGGUUGGUACUUGUACCAACUGGAUGAGCAGCGAACGGGUGAGUAACGCGUGGGGAAUCUGCCUUUGAGCGGGGGACAACAUUUGGAAACGAAUGCUAAUACCGCAUAAAAACUUUAAACACAAGUUUUAAGUUUGAAAGAUGCAAUUGCAUCACUCAAAGAUGAUCCCGCGUUGUAUUAGCUAGUUGGUGAGGUAAAGGCUCACCAAGGCGAUGAUACAUAGCCGACCUGAGAGGGUGAUCGGCCACAUUGGGACUGAGACACGGCCCAAACUCCUACGGGAGGCAGCAGUAGGGAAUCUUCGGCAACGGACGAAAGUCUGGCCGAGCAACGCCGCGGGAGUGAAGAAGGUUUUCGGAUCGUAAAACUCUGUUGGUAGAGAAGAACGUUGGUGAGAGUGGAAAGCUCAUCAAGUGACGGUAACUACCCAGAAAGGGACGGCUAACUACGUG